rnacentral:rRNA from 1 species
UACGAAGGGGGCUAGCGUUGUUCGGAAUUACUGGGCGUAAAGCGUGCGCAGGCGGCUUCUCAAGUCAGGGGUGAAAGCCCAGAGCUCAACUCUGGAAUUGCCUUUGAGACUGAGUGGCUUGAGUACGGGAGAGGUGAGUGGAAUUCCCAGUGUAGAGGUGAAAUUCGUAGAUAUUGGGAAGAACACCGGUGGCGAAGGCGGCUCACUGGCCCGCAACUGACGCUCAUGCACGACAGCGUGGGGAUCAAACAGG